rnacentral:rRNA from 1 species
CAGUAGCCGCGGUAAUACGGAGGGGGCUAGCGCUGUUCGGAAUUACUGGGCGUAAAGCGCACGUAGGCGGCUUGGUAAGUUAGAGGUGAAAGCCCAGGGCUCAACCCUGGAAUUGCCUUUAAGACUGCCGAGCUAGUAGGUGAGAGAGGUAAGUGGAAUUCCGAGUGUAGAGGUGAAAUUCGUAGAUAUUCGGAAGAACACCAGUGGCGAAGGCGGCUUACUGGCUCAUUCUAGACGCUGAGGUGCGAAAGCGUGGGGAGCAAACAGGAUUAGAUACCCGAGUAGUCCCUGUCUCUUAUAC